UACCCCCUUCUCAUUUUACCUAUUCAUCUUAUGUCUUUAUUGGUUAUUCAGAUGGAGAAAAGGAAAUAUCCUAACAUAAUUUAAGCAAACAACUGUUUGUCUUGUAUCUUUCAGAGGAAACAAUA